CUGAACUUAAGCAUAUCAAUAAGCGGAGGAAAAGAAACUAACAAGGAUUCCCCUAGUAACGGCGAGUGAAGCGGGAAGAGCUCAAAUUUGAAAUCUGGUGGCCUCAGGCUAUCCGAGUUGUAAUCUAUAGAAACAUUUUCCGCGUUGGCCCAUGUACAAGUCUCUUGGAAUAGAGCGUCAUAGAGGGUGAGAAUCCCGUCCUUGACAUGGACUACCAGUGCUUUGUGAUAUGUUUUCAACGAGUCGAGUUGUUUGGGAAUGCAGCUCAAAAUGGGUGGUAAAUUCCAUCUAAAGCUAAAUAUUGGCGAGAGACCGAUAGCGAACAAGUACCGUGAGGGAAAGAUGAAAAGCACUUUGGAAAGAGAGUUAAACAGUAUGUGAAAUUGUUGAAAGGGAAACGAUUGAAGUCAGUCGUGUCUAUUGGACUCAGCCGGUUCUGCCGGUGUACUUCCUUUAGAUGGGGUCAACAUCAGUUUUGAUCGCUGGAAAAGGGCAGGAGGAAUGUAGCACUCUCGGGUGAACUUAUAGCCUUCUGUCGCAUACAGUGGUUGGGACUGAGGAACGCAGCUUGCCUUUAUGGCCGGGAUUUAUCCACGUACAAGCUUAGGAUG
rnacentral:rRNA from 1 species